UUAGAGCACUCCAGCAUUUAAAUGUAAAUAAAUCUUUUGAGUCUCGUAACGCUCGUUAACGAGAUACUGGUAAUGUAGCCCAACGUCAAGGAAGUGGACGGAAGAAAACAGCAACAUCAGCAGAAAUGGUUCGAAAAAAAGAAUAUAGACUCAAAAGAGCUAAAGAGUUGCUUCGCUUGGUCGAAA